rnacentral:rRNA from 1 species
GAUAAACGCUGGCGGCGUGCCUAACACAUGCAAGUCGAACGAUCCCGCAAGGGAGAGUGGCGGAAGGGUGAGUAACACGUGGAAUCUACCUCCUCGCAGGGAACAACCUCUCGAAAGAGAGGCUAAUACCCAAAGGGUCAGAAAUGAUCAGAGUCGAAAGGCGUGAGGAGAGGAGCCCGCGGCCCAUCAGCUAGUUGGUGAGGUAAUGGCUUACCAAGGCUACGACGGGUAGGGGAUCUGAGAGGAUGUCCCCCACACUGGAACUGAAACACGGUCCAGACGCCUACGGGUGGCAGCGGUGAGGAAUAUUGGACAAUGGGCGAAAGCCCGAUCCAGCAACGCCGCGUGGAGGAUGAAGGCCUUCGGGUCGUAAACUUCUUUAGAGGGAGACGAGAAAGGACGGUAUCCCUAGAAUAAGCGACGGCAAACUACGUGCCAGCAGCCGCGGUAAU